AUGAACGCUGGCGGCGUGCCUAAUACAUGCAAGUCGAGCGAACAGACGAGGAGCUUGCUCCUCUGAUGUUAGCGGCGGACGGGUGAGUAACACGUGGAUAACCUACCUAUAAGACUGGGAUAACUUCGGGAAACCGGAGCUAAUACCGGAUAACAUGUUGAACCGCAUGGUUCAACAGUGAAAGACGGUCUUGCUGUCACUUAUAGAUGGAUCCGCGCCGCAUUAGCUAGUUGGUAAGGUAACGGCUUACCAAGGCAACGAUGCGUAGCCGACCUGAGAGGGUGAUCGGCCACACUGGAACUGAGACACGGUCCAGACUCCUACGGGAGGCAGCAGUAGGGAAUCUUCCGCAAUGGGCGAAAGCCUGACGGAGCAACGCCGCGUGAGUGAAGAAGGUCUUCGGAUCGUAAAACUCUGUUAUUAGGGAAGAACAAAUGUGUAAUUAACUAUGCACGUCUUGACGGUACCUAAUCAGAAAGCCACGGCUAACUACGUG
rnacentral:rRNA from 1 species